GACGGAGGAUGCAAGCGUUAUCCGGAAUGAUUGGGCGUAAAGCGUCCGCAGGUGGCAGUUCAAGUCUGCUGUCAAAGACCGGGGCUUAACUUCGGAAAGGCAGUGGAAACUGAACAGCUAGAGUAUGGUAGGGGCAGAGGGAAUUCCUGGUGUAGCGGUGAAAUGCGUAGAGAUCGGGAGGAACACCGGUGGCGAAGGCGGCCUGCUGGGCAGUAACUGACACUGAGGCGCGACAGCGUGGGGAGCAAACAGG
rnacentral:rRNA from 1 species